rfam:Trichomonas vaginalis G3, whole genome shotgun sequence.
UGUACAAGUUGCUAAGGGUCGGAUUGUUUCACCCGUAUUAGGGAUCGUGAGCUGGGUUUAGACCGUCGUGAGCCAGGUUUGUUUUAUCCCUACUGGAUAUAGCAUCAUGAUAGUAGAUUGAUUUAGUACGAGAGGAACUGUUGAUUAUGGCCUCUGGUUAGCGAUUAUCGGAAACGGUAUGUCGCGCAGCUACGCCGUCUGGGAUAAUGGCUGAAAGCCUCUUAAGCCAGAAGCCCAUCUAGAAAGUGAUGCACGUGAUGUUGGACCGAUACGAAUAAUCAUACUCAAAAGGUCCGCUUCAUAGGUAACCCAAUGUAGAAGACAUUGUGUGAACGAAGGUACUGUAAGCAGUGGAGUGGCAUUACGUCCACGACCUGUUGAGGUUCAGCUUCGCUUCUAGGUUUCC